rnacentral:rRNA from 1 species
UACGGAGGGGGCUAGCGUUGUUCGGAAUUACUGGGCGUAAAGCGCACGUAGGCGGUUUGUCGCGUCUGCCGUGAAAGUCCGGGGCUCAACUCCGGAUCUGCGGUGGGUACGGGCAGACUAGAGUGAUGUAGGGGAGACUGGAAUUCCUGGGUGUAGGCGGUGAAAUGCGUAGAUAUCCGGAGGAACACCGGUGGCGAAGGCGGCUGCCUGGACCGGACACUGACGC